GAUGAAGAACGCAGCGAAAUGCGAUAAGUAAUGUGAAUUGCAGAAUUCAGUGAAUCAUCGAAUCUUUGAACGCACAUUGCGCCCGCUAGUAUUCUGGCGGGCAUGCCUGUUCGAGCGUCAUUUCAACCCUCAGGCCCCCAGUGCCUGGCGUUGGGGAUCGGCCGCUGGCGUCCUUCGGGGCGCCUGGCCGGCCCCGAAAUCUAGUGGCGGUCUCGCUGUAGUCCUCCUCUGCGUAGUAGCACAACCUCGCAGUUGGAACUCAGCGGUGGCCAUGCCGUUAAACACCCCACUUCUGAAAGUUGACCUCGGAUCAGGUAGGAAUACCCGCUGAACUUAAGCAUAUCAAUAAGCGGAGGA
rnacentral:misc_RNA from 1 species